AUUGAACGCUGGCGGCAUGCUUUACACAUGCAAGUCGAACGGUAACAGGCCGCAAGGUGCUGGCGAGUGGCGAACGGGUGAGUAAUGCAUCGGAACGUGCCCAGUCGUGGGGGAUAACUACUCGAAAGAGUAGCUAAUACCGCAUACGAUCUAUGGAUGAAAGCGGGGGACCGUAAGGCCUCGCGCGAUUGGAGCGGCCGAUGUCAGAUUAGGUAGUUGGUGGGGUAAAGGCUCACCAAGCCAACGAUCUGUAGCUGGUCUGAGAGGACGACCAGCCACACUGGGACUGAGACACGGCCCAGACUCCUACGGGAGGCAGCAGUGGGGAAUUUUGGACAAUGGGCGCAAGCCUGAUCCAGCAAUGCCGCGUGCAGGAAGAAGGCCUUCGGGUUGUAAACUGCUUUUGUACGGAACGAAACGGCUCUGGUUAAUACCCGGGGCUAAUGACGGUACCGGAAGAAUAAGCACCGGCUAACUACGUG
rnacentral:rRNA from 1 species